rnacentral:rRNA from 1 species
GACUUAGGUGGCAAGCGUUAUUCGGAAUUACUAGGCGUCAAGCGAGUGUAGGCGGACGAUUAAGUUCGAUGUUAAAUCUCCAGGCUUAACUUGGAGUCGCAUCGAAUACUGGUCGCCUCGAGUGGGGUAGGGGGCAGCGGAAUUCCCGGUGUAGCGGUGAAAUGCGUAGAUAGCGGGAGGAACACCUAGGGCGAAAGCAGCUGCCUGGGCCUUUACUGACGCUAAGACUCGAAAGCUGGGGGAGCAAACAGG